CAACAGAUUAGCCCGUUAAGUACGAAGGGAACUGCGGUACAGCUGACGGGAGCAUCACUGGCUUUGCGAACAAACUGACUCCCCCGCAGCACACUGCCCCACAGUGACCAGGCAGGGACAAGCUCAAGUGGAAAGUCGAGCAUCGGCUUCGUAAAACGCAGGUGCCCAGCUGGAGACACUGGGAGGUUAAACGCUUGCUGAGGUCACUGCUGGCAAGUAGUGGAGUUAAGACUUAAACCCAGGCCCUUAGACUCCGGACUUGUGCCCCUGGCCGCUGCCUUCUCCUUCCUAAAGCUGCAUUUUCAUCCCUCAUCUCCUUUCAAGUGCUUUGGAUAGUGCCACACCGUGUCCUGGUGUCAUUUCAGACUCACAGAGAAAGGCUGAGGCUUCCUCCCAGGCUCCCUGGGGAAAUGCCUGGUGUGGACCAAGGAAGAUGACGGAAUCACAACUAUAAUUAACCGGGAUCGAAUGCUUCCUAUGUGCUGACGAGCGUUCCGUGGAUUAUUUCACUUCAGCCUCAGAGCAACUC